rnacentral:lncRNA from 1 species
UAGCUGAGAAGAGACGUGUUCGAUUGCCGCCUCGAUCAUCCUGGUGAGUUUUACUUAAUCUUUUCUUUUGAUUGUUUUUUGAACUUUGAAAGCCGGAUGAUGAUCUCAUGUUUUAUUCCAGGGAUGCUGAAGAUACUAUUCCUGUGGAGAUAGGGGUGGAGGUUGGUCUCCCGACUACGCUCUCUGGCUCCUUAGUCAAUUUGUUGAUGGAUGACGCACCUGAGGUUGAAGACACAAGUCG